rnacentral:rRNA from 1 species
GACGAACGCUGGCGGCGUGCCUAAUACAUGCAAGUAGAACGCUGAAGAGAGGAGCUUGCUCUUCUUGGAUGAGUUGCGAACGGGUGAGUAACGCGUAGGUAACCUGCCUUGUAGCGGGGGAUAACUAUUGGAAACGAUAGCUAAUACCGCAUAACAAUGGAUGACACAUGUCAUUUAUUUGAAAGGGGCAAUUGUUCCACUACAAGAUGGACCUGCGUUGUAUUAGCUAGUAGGUGAGGUAAUGGCUCACCUAGGCGACGAUACAUAGCCGACCUGAGAGGGUGAUCGGCCACACUGGGACUGAGACACGGCCCAGACUCCUACGGGAGGCAGCAGUAGGGAAUCUUCGGCAAUGGGGGCAACCCUGACCGAGCAACGCCGCGUGAGUGAAGAAGGUUUUCGGAUCGUAAAGCUCUGUUGCAAGUCAAGAACGGGUGUGAGAGUGGAAAGUUCACACUGUGACGGUAGCUUACCAGAAAGGGACGGCUAACUACGUG